CCUUGAGCUCCAGGUGACGGUGAUCAUGUUGUGAUUGUGAGCACCUGCUUCAUCCAGAGACGUGAGGAGAGAAGAAAAGAAGACACUGCUUCUCAGGGUUCUUCUAGGUUCCUCAUAAGUUCCUCUUGUGUUCCUCCACCUCAGCAUGUCCAUCAGCAGACCCUCGUAUCUUCUGUACAGUGAUGACAAAGGAAACUUUAUUCCUCUGGGCCGACAGUUACUCGGGUACAGACCUCCUCCGUCUCAGGACUGUGUCAGGCACCUGGAUAUUGAAAGUGAAUCCCCACACCGACCUGCGCAGAUUCACGAUGAAGAAAACCAAACUACAAGCAUGAACAUGACAUUUGACUUCAAGACUCCUCCUUUCAACAAUAGUGACGGCACAACAUUAUAAACUUUCUAUAUUUUUGAACGGAACAUAAAGACACGUCCAGUGAUCCAGAGUCCAUGUUAAAGGGGAUGAAGGGUAAUGAGCUGACGCCGGCCGGCCUGGAGUUUCUGCACAGGCUGAAGAAGGACAAGGAGCUGAAGCGCCUGCAGGAGAUAAUUCAAUAAUUCCCUGAAGACCAAACAAGAGGUUGCGAAAGUAAAAGAAAAGACUGCAUCUGCACCGCGCCGAGGCAAACCAAAACCAAAAACUCAAGAUUCCACAAACCCAAGCAAACUCCCGAGCAGAGCGAACCGCAAGAAGAUCAAGCCCGCCGCCGCAGCACAGAAGAUUAAACCCGAUGCACCGACGCGUGAAGGUUCCGGCCCGGCUCCACCCGAUCAGGCGCUUCCACUUCCAGAGAGCAGGGUGAAGAGGAGAGCGGUCGCGGUUGAUCCAGGGGACAAUCGCCAGAAGAGGGACAAGCAACCAGGGCUC